CUCAUUUGUUCUUCUUUCUCUAGUUACGUUAAUUGUUAAUUUAGACUGUUCAUAUGGGAUUGUUCUUCUUUCUUGAGGUAGGCCGGUAUUGCAGCAUACAGAAAUAUCUAUGGAUAUAAUCCUGGCUUUGCAAUCUAAAAGCAGCUGGCCUGCUAGCACCCUGGAAGUUCUGUCCAGCAAUAACUGGCUUGGAACAAAAGUUAAGAGCAGUCUAAGAUGACAGCCAUGUCACCUGGUACCCGAGCAUGGGAAGGAAGGAGAUGGUCUCCAAGCUAUCUUAAAAAUGUAGGUUAACUUAAGAACAUACGGAAGAGUUGUUAAUGUUAUGUUCUAGGGCAGUAAAAAUCAGCACAUGCUGCUGGCAUUUCCAGAGCCUUUGCUAAAUAGGCUACAAGAAGGGAGUUUGGUGAGAGACGGAAUUGGAAAGGGUAUAGUUGUAGUAAUAUCAAAUAUUCAGCUUUAAAAUGUCUACUAAACUUCAUGUUGAUGUUAUUUUUUGUUUGUUUUCCACAAAGAAAGGCAGUAGUGGCCUUGGAGUCAGGCCGCCUCAGAUUUGAAUCCUGAGGCGUCUUCUCUCUCCAGCUGUAUGAUCUUGGGCUGCUUACCAAGCCUCUCUAAGCCUCUUUACCCCUGUAUUUACUGGGUUCAUCAACGCUGCUUGAUUCUGGAAGGAUUUUGGGUACCUGCUUCUGCUGCAGUCCAGGGGAAUUGGAGGGGGUUCAUGAAACACGAGCGCAGUUACGAUACCUAAAGCUCUUUGUGGAAUGAAGCAGGUUGUAAGCGCCCAGAACGCACACGGCAGGCAGUGGCACUCCGAAGGUCUGGAACUCUGCUUUGGAAACUGUGUGACAUACUUUCUCCAGUGCCUCAAGACAGAGAACUGCCUGAACGUGCCCCCUUCUGGAGUAUGCGCCCCACUCCUCUACAGCUCCCCCAGCCCCCACCGCACGGAUUCUCCUUCAGCAGGGUCUUCAGUGAUGCGCCCCCCCAUUAGAGAUUCUACUGAUAAGUGUCGGAGAAUCAGGUCACUCGAUAAGUGAUCGGCACUGAGGCAAAAGGUAAGAUUGUGCAAGCCGACGGACAGAGGACGGCCACGUCGCACUGGAAAUAGAACAUGUCGUACAACGUAAACCAAACAUUACUGAGCUCCCUGAGAACGCCGUGAAUGGAAUUACCCAUGAGAGACAAAUUCAGUACUUUUCAUUAAGGCAGAUUUUACCGAAAAUGUAUGCUUCACAAAGCAUCACUCAACUACAGUGAAACUAGAUUCACUACUUCACAAAGCAACACAACUACAGGGAAACAAGCUUAACAGUUAAGUGUUAGGUUAGUUUUCGCUUGGCUUUUAUGAGAGAGGAAAAAAAACUAGUAUUUUUCAUACACUGCCAGCAGGAAAACCAUGUGCUUAUGCCAAAAAGCAUUUUUUGUGUACUGAUGAAUGUAUAUGUAAAUUCUAAUGUUUCUUCAACCAUGUGUAUUGAUGCAAGUAACCUACCUUUUGUACUUUCACAGUAGUUACAAUGAUGGGAAGAGUAUUAAGAAAACAAAAUGAGGAAACUGGGUAUACUUCCUCAGUUACACACUGUUUUUUAUGUAAAUGACACAAGGGUUAAAGCCCAGGAGAAAAUGGUCUACAGGUCACUCUGCAUUUCAAUAACACUGCUUCCUCAGUUUUGUCUUGGGCAAAGAAGUCCUCAUUAAUCCAGUGGUCACCUCUGGGGACAGGUGAUCACUCACUCAAAAGUGAGACCCCACCAUGAACAGCCCCCCCUCCAGGAGCCCUGCAUGUUUUGAUGGAAAUCUCUCAUUUAGGAAACCCAGUAGUCACUGUUGCAGUUACACUGUUGGUACACUGAGAACAUGCUAUCUUUCCCUAAAGGUUAUCAAGAUAACUCAUGUAAUGCUUUAAAAAUCCUGUGGGAAAACCAACCUCAAAGAAUGGCUUCUGUCACACUGGUGUCUGUGCUGCAGACAUGUUACCUACCUUGUCAUAAUAGUCUGCCUAUCUGGGCGCACAUCUAAUAAAAUCUUCAUUAUCUGGGGUUCAAAUCCCAUAUCUA